GUUUUCAUCUAGCAGGGCUUGUUGCCCUGAAAACUAAAGCCUUCUGAUAAUGUUUUCAUAGUUCUAGUUACAUUCCCAUGAAAGUUCCAUAAACAUAGGUUGUUUAUCACAUUCCUUCUAAGAAAUGUCUUUUGAUGGACGUUUUGCAUGACCAGUGUGCUUGGGAAGGUGGUAAGUUAAUUAUCCAAUCCUUGGUCAUUGUUGAGAAUCUAUAAAUACUGGAGUCAGAGAAUAAAAGUUGGUUCUUUCCUGUUCUAUCACUGAAAAGUGUUUGUGUGAAUCAUUUUGUGUCCUUUAGUGACAAGAGCCUGUUCCUUUGGCUUAUGGUGGCUAUGGUACCCUUCAGCUGAUAGCCAGAGAGAAAAAAUUUCCAGAGAAGAGAGAGGAGAACAGAGAACAUGUACAUGAAACAGGAGAACAAGAGAUCCAUUACUUGCUAAAAGUUCAUGCUACGCACUUACCUACAGGACAAAAAUUGAUCAAGAUAAUACUGCAGCUCUGCUACCAAAUGGUA